GUAGCCCUACGGGAGGCAGCAGUGAGGAAUAUUGGUCAAUGGGCGGAAGCCUGAACCAGCCAAGUCGCGUGAGGGAAUAAGGCCCUACGGGUCGUAACCCUCUUUCGCCGGGGAGCAAGGGCCGGGACGCGUCCCGGCCCGGAGAGUACCCGGAGAAAAAGCAUCGGCUAACUCCGUGCCAGCAGCCGCGGUAAUACGGAGGAUGCGAGCGUUAUCCGGAUUUAUUGGGUUUAAAGGGUGCGCAGGCGGGCUUUUAAGUCAGCGGUAAAAAUUCGGGGCUCAACCCCGUCCGGCCGUUUGAACUG
rnacentral:rRNA from 1 species